CGUCUAUAUACGUAUAGCAUAUCAAUAAGCGGAGGAAAAGAAACUAACAAGGAUUCCCUUAGUAACGGCGAGUGAAGCGGGAAGAGCUCAAAUUUGAAAUCUUCAAGGUUCUACCUUGACGAAUUGUAGUUUAAAGAAGUGUUUUCUGUUAGAGGAGUAGCAAAAGUUCCUUGGAAUGGGACAUCAUAGAGGGUGAGAAUCCCGUAUUUGGUUAUUCUUUCUAGCUUUGUGAUACACUUUCAAAGAGUCGGAUUGUUUGGGUAUGCAGUCCAAAAUGGGUGGUAAAUUUCAUCUAAAGCUAAAUAUUGGCGAGAGACCGAUAGCGAACAAGUACCGUGAGGGAAAGAUGAAAAGAACUUUGAAAAGAGAGUUAAACAGUACGUGAAAUUGUCAAAAGGGAAGCGUUUGACACCAGUGUUGUUUUUCCGAGAAUCAAUUAAGAGUGGCUUGAUUUUGUGUUGUAUUGACCUUAUCAGCUUUCUUCACUCUUUUUCGAGUCUUUCUUAAUGCACUUUUCGGUUAACAAGUCAACAUCAAUUUCUUUUGUUGUAAAAGGGUAUUUGGAAGGUGGCUUUCUUUUCGGAGAAAGUGUUUAUAGCCUUAUACCUCUACAAUCGGAGAGAUUGAGGUCUGCAGCGUAGAUCCUUCGGGGCUAGAUACACUUGUGCUAAGUUAUAGCUUUUCAUAGACAACUUGUUGACUAUGUUUAGUCAUGUAGCUUACCCGCUUGUGCUAUUUUACCUACGCUUAGGAUGUUGAGUCAUCACACAUCUCU
rnacentral:rRNA from 1 species